UACGUAGGGGGCAAGCGUUGUCCGGAAUCAUUGGGCGUAAAGCGCGCGCAGGCGGUCUUCCAAGUCAGUGGUGAAAGCCCGGAGCUCAACUCCGGAACUGCCAUUGAAACUGUAAGACUUGAGGAUGAGAGAGGUGAGUGGAAUUCCCAGUGUAGAGGUGAAAUUCGUAGAUAUUCGGAAGAACACCAGUGGCGAAGGCGACACACUGGGCCAUUACUGACGCUGAGGCGCGAAAGCGUGGGGAGCAAACAGG
rnacentral:rRNA from 1 species